rnacentral:misc_RNA from 1 species
UUUCCGUAGGUGAACCUGCGGAAGGAUCAUUACAAAAUGUUAUGUGAUGUCGUAACGGCCAUCCAAGCACAGACAUCCAUCUUAAACUUUACAAACAAUUACUAAUCUGAUAAGGACAUAUGCUGGAAUAAUUAAAAUAUAUUAAAACUUUCAACAACGGAUAUCUUGGCUCUC